ensembl:lincRNA
CCCCACCCCCCACCCUCGCCGCCGUCCACCGUAGGGCAGCAGACAGACAGGCCCAGGGCUCGUCCUCCGGGGCGGUCCUUACUGCUCCCCUGCGCUGUGUCUGCUGUCCACAAUGCGGAGGGAACCCACUUCCCAUCUCUGGAAGUUCUGCGGGGCAGGUUUCGGCGUGAAGGUGAAGGAACCGGAGUUGUGGACGUUGGUAGCCAAGGGAUACAGGUAUAACCACGCUGCUGCCCACUACUGCGAAUACGGCUGCCCUGAGGGGCGGGGGCGGGGGAGAAGGCCUCAUCAGCCCCGGGGCCUGACCCAGGACCCCCCGGGGUGCAGGUGGGGGCCCCACAUGCAGGCCUGCCCUGCUGGGGGAGGGGGUGUGGGCCAGAGGGCGGGUGCGUCAGGGUCCGUCUCCCCCGAGGCGGGGCCAGUGCCUCUGGUGGCACCCUUCCCCUUUGGUGGCACCGUCCCCUCGGGUGACCCCAUCCCCAGGUGGCAACUGUCCCCUCGGGUGGCACUCGUCUCCUUGGGUGACACCGUCCCAGGGCUGAAGGGGUGGCCCCAGGGGCCCUACUUGGGCUCCAGCCCUAGCCAGUCACUGCCCAAUCUUUACAGCUGUGCCUGCGGCCAGCUCAAGUCUCACAGCAGGCAGACGCCUCCCUGGAGGCACCCACCCCACACCCCCAGCACCUCGUGUGACACCCGGGGCCUGAGGGAUCUCAUCCUGGUCAGUGUGUGGCCACGCUCACACGUGCAGAAGGAAAAGGCCGCAGAAAGCACGGCGCCCUGAGCUCCGCUCGGGAGUAGCACGUGCGAGCGGGUGGGGAGCGUCUCAGAGGCAGCCCCAGACCCACCGCCGGGACCGCCGACCUCCAGCUCAUGCGGGAGGGCGUUUCCACAGAGCACAGGAGCCGGGAGCUGAGUGCGCCGCUGGAGCACGUGUGGACCACAGCGCACGCUCUGGGGAGCAGCGGGGAGCAGACGGGUGGGUUGCCACGCGCCAGUCCACGCUCACGCCUGCCAAAGUCUCCUACAUCUAGCGUCCGUGUGCGUCACUUAUAUAAUUUUCAAGUAAAAAAAGAAAGACUUAUAAUCACACAAAGCCCAUUCCUGCUGCGUCUGGAGGGCCCUUUCUGACGAUGAUCUCUGGGCACACUGCGUCCCACCUGGGUGAUGUCCACACGUGUGCCCACCUGUCCCACAAGCUAACAGCACGGAGCCCGGCUGGGCAUGGCCCAGAGAUGGGGCGAGCUGAGUCAAAGCUCCAGGACGUGGACACCGGGUGACCCACACCCCAGGAAGGCCCGCCAGGCAACCACAUCACAGCCCCAGUGCCCCGAGCUCAGCGAGGCUGAGAGGACCCUUGCCUGGGUCUGGGGCAGGAGGCUGCAGUGAGCAGCGUCCACGCAGGCAGAGCUGUGCUGGGAGGUGACAGGGCGGCGCAGGGCGCUCACGCACCCUCUGCAUCUGGGGUUCAACAGAAGGACCCCGGCCGCCACUGGGAGCCUGGGGCCUGGCCUGACUCCUGAGCUCAUGACGGCUCAGCAGACCCCGCCCCUCCCAGCCGCCAGGAGCACCCCACUCACUUCUCUGAGGCUUUGGGUGCGUUCUUCUCCUCGCCCCUGGCAAAGGGCCCUUCUGCAGCCUCCUUCAUGAAGCUCACCAGGACCUCUGCACUGACCCCAGAAUCUGGCCUCCCCAGGAGCUUCAGGAUGGAUGCGUGGAGCCGGAAGUACACCUGGGACAAGGGCGACACGGCGUGAGUGGCAGCCCCAGAGGCCGAGCGAGGCUGCCUGUCCCCGACCCCCUCCCCCAGGGGCUCACCCAGCACCGCCCUCCCUGCACCCCCCUCCUGCCCUGGCACCACGGAGAGUGGGCAGUGCCUGCACGUGCAUCCCCGCACCGUGGGCCCCAAGAGGGGAGGCCACACCGGAGAAGGGCUGGGUGCCUAUGGCGGAGGGGGCCUGCCAGCCCCUCCCACUACGUCUCGGCAGGGAAAAAAAACCGCGUAACAGGUGCUGAGCAUGUCACUUUGUGUCUGCGUGUUAACAGGAAACACGUCCAGAAAGGACAGGGCCCAGAUUUUAACACAGAGUACUGCAACCAGGGAGCUGGGAUCGCUGGGGACUUUCAAUUUUUCAGUUUAAACACUUGAACGAUUCCAUUCUUACGGCUUCCUUAACCACUAAUGAUCGUUAACAAUCAACAGGAGCAAAUAUGUAAACACAAAAAAGGAGUAAACACGUAGACUCGGCCCCAAAUUCCCAGCGGCUUUCUGGCAGAGGAAUGGUGGGGUGGACGCGCGGCCUGCAAAGGGCGACGCUGACAAGCCCCAGGUCCCAGGAAGCCAGGAGCCCCCAGGCCUGCACCGUGUCCUUGGAACCCGCCUCGUGGACCACGUGUGCGCCAGGGAGGACCCCGAGCAUGCCGCCUGAACCCACACGCACACCCAGGCAGGCACACAGUCUGCUCGGGAGGAGCAUGCGAGACUGUGACCCGGGGGUCCAGAGGGUCGCGGCUCCUCGGCUCCCCCGUCCCCCAGCUGGGAGCGACCCCCCCCCCC